GCAGGGUUCCACUUCAUUAUCUCCGUGAUCCAACAUGGAUGUGGGGAGGAAGAACGCGGACACUCUCUGAGUGAUUUAACAGGAUGCUUUAAUGAUGUAUUGAAAAUGAACAUUGACCCCAGGUAAGAGGUGCUAAACGGAUACUUUAAAAGCCCACCAUCCAUUUCACUCUGAUGGGCUCUCCUCCUUAAAUCACUGUGUUGUCAUUUUUACGACGCAGACCUAGCUGUGGAGGCUACGGGACUGUGAAAUGUCAUAUAAAAAGCCAAUAAGAAAAAAAUAAAAUUAAGUUGCGGGGAGCGUGCAUUAGCAUUUCAAAAAUGUUCUGUUGCAUUAUGCUACAUUCUUCUCUCUCUGUCAAGGGGCACCAGGAUCCUGUCCUCCCCAUAAAGAGACUAUGCCGCAGAAUGUAUUAGUGCUCCAUUCCUGAAACUGUGUGGCAGCUGAAGGGCAUAGUUACGAUAAUGGCGAAAUACAUUCUGGACUAAAUUUGAUAGGACACUGGGGCCGUCUUCCUCCUCUGAUGAGAAAAUCUUGAUUGCUUCUCUCCUUGUUGGCUCAGGUCCGUAGCUUUCAGAGUUUUGACAAAUUAAUGUUUUCAGCAUUUCUGCCCCGGAGAAAAGUAAGGAAUGAAAUCUGCUGAGGUGAGGGUGUGACUCUUGCACUUGAGGUGACGAUGGGGUCGCCUGGCAUUCUGUGAGGCAAGGGCACCACCACCCCAAACUCCCCUGCCUGGCAGCCCGUAAAAUACCCCAAAUUACCCAAUGCCCAGACUACCUGAAUGGCUGGAUCUGGGAUUGGGUAGGUGUGGCCCGCUGUGCCAUCUGGAAAGUAUGAGUUUAGGAAUGCACCCUCGGCCUGGGUCUUCAGGGAGCCUCUGGAGAAACUGAAACCCUUAGCACUCUGAGGGGUGUCUUAAAUUCUAACUUGGAGUCUGGUUGGUGCUGUUCUGUGAACUGGGCUUUCAGAUCUGAGCUGGGCCAGAUGGAGGGAUGGUGGCUGCAGAGGGAGGAAGCCUUGCCAGUAUUGGCCUCGAAGAGCCCCCUGGUCUCCCGGGUCGUUAUGGGAAUGCGAUUCCUUUCUAGGGCUCGGAAUUUGCCAAACUGGGGAAGAUAAAUCCAGCGCCCCUAACAGUCGAUGACGCUAAGCCAUUGAAACAAUUGCAGUGCUUUAUCUGGAACUUUUCAGAAAGCUGACUUGUUCGUUAGGAGCCAUCCACUUGGUAGAAUUCCACUGUAUUGUUUUCCAGCGCGAUGUGCUGCAGAACGGGUUUGGUCAGCACUUUGGUUUGGGGAAUAUAUUUUCAUUUGAGAAGAUGCUUCUGCUGGGCUUCUUGCAACAUUGCAUUAGGAAGUACUGGACUCUGAGCCCCGCUGAGGGAAGGAGACUGGGGGAUGCCGCCACGGCAUUGCAGGGUGUGGGCAAGCACAGAGUGGUAUGUUUCUUCUUCUUCUUCUUCUUCUUCUUCUUCUUCUUCUUCUUCUUCUCCUUCUCCUUCUCCUUCUCCUUCUCCUCCUCCCCCUCCUCUUCCCCCUCCCCCUCCUUCUUCUUCUUUUUAAAAAUAUAUUCAUCAAGUCCAGCCCAUGAGAACCUGAUCUGAAUUGAAUUUUACCCCUAAUGAGAUGCCAUGUCCCUUCUGUUCUCUCAAAAAGAGACCUUGAGAGUUUGUAUUAGAGAGCGAAAUAAAACUUUUCACUGUUUUCAUGUUUCCUAAUAACAGCCUGAGUCAUAACCUGAAUUUUUAUGCAACUAAUUAUGAGUGCGACUCGGGCAUGAAAGAUUUAUAUGAUCAGAAAAGAAAUUACCUGCGUUAUCUCUGGGCAGGCGGGGGAUGAGUCGAGGAGGUGAGUUAAUCAGUUUUCUAGGUCAUGCCGAAGGCACCUGCACGGUGCUGGCUGGCCGGUCUGUCCUUUCACCAAGCUGAGUGAGGGAAGGACUGGGAGACAUCCUCCUGGGACACUCCCAGAGCUUCCCAUUCCCCCUCCAGCCUGGGAACAACCAGCUUUGGCCAUGGGGCCUCUGCAAUCAGCAUUUUCUCCCAGUAUGACAUUUCUAUCCUCUGCUUCCUAAGACCAACGUGCCCAACUAACCUAACAGUCCCGGGGAAACAAAAUCAAAGCCCAAGAGGGGACUGGCUUAACAGGAAAUGAGAGACACGUACAACAGGGAGACGGUCCGGGAGGUUGAUUCCUAUUAUCUGAAUGGAAGCUGGAAUUCUAUCCGUUGUUUGCUCCUUAAAGUUUCAUUUCAGUUACAGAGACUGAAAAUUAAUUACAGGUCCGUACCUUGAAGCAUGCGACCAAAGGAAUAAGUAUUUGCCAAGAAGCAAUAGCUCUUACAGCCAUCAUGCUCACUAAAUUACCCGCAUAUUGUUUAUCUGUGAAAGGAGCGGCUGGCCCAGCGUGGCGGUAAGGAGUGCAUGAUGGAGAGCCAUUGCGGGGCGAGCGGGAAGUCAUGCGUGUUUAGGGCUGUAAUGCGCAUUUAGUUACACGGCCAUUUGCUGAGGCCCACCACUGAUUAAUAUACACAGGCUUGUUCAUUUACUCAGCAUUACGUUUAAUCAUUUAAUUUUCGUGAGAGUUUUCGGAUCUUUUAAUCAUCCUAAUAUUCUUCUUAUUGCAACAUAUUACUAAGCUGUUAGUUCAAUUCAAUUAAAAAGUGUCAUCUCCAAAAGUAAUUUAUUCCAUGUGCAUCGUUAAGCGGAUACCCCAGAUAUGUCUGCAUUUUAAAGGAAUAAUAACUCUUCCGAUUUAUUAGUCUGCAAACCACUGCGCUGCGUUAGCACUAAAGACGAUGCCGCGAGUGGUCAAUGUCUGUGGGUGCUGGUGGGGUGGUGGCAGAUCUGUGACUGUUUCUCCAGAUUUUGUACUAAGGCUAAGAAGCGAGUAUGAAAGUGUGGGCCAUCUGUUAGUAGUCGGGUGGCCCCCGAAAACCAGUGUGACUUUCUGAUCCUGAUAGUAUUUGUAAUAGCGUGGCCUUGGAGUUCCCCCUUUGGGGACCCCUUGGCAGAAGUUUCUAUCUCCACCGCCUCUUUCUUCAAGCAGGUGCUAAAGGAAGCACCUGCUGUGGGUCUGCUAGGGGAGAGUUUAGUGUCUUCUCUCCUUGUCAGGAUUCUGGACCUUCCUGGUUGACUUUUGAGUUACUUCCUCUGUUCUCUCUGGAGCAGCGCUAUCCAGGAGAAAUGUGAGGCAAGGAAAUGCCAGUGUGAUACAAUGUAAUACAAGCCACAUAUCUGGUUUAAAUUUCCUAAUAGUCACAGAAAGUAAAAAGAAACAGGUGACACUGAUUCUAAUAAUAUACUUUAACUCCACAGAUCCAAAAUAUCAUUUCAGCAUGUAAUCAAUGUAAAAGUCAGUCAAUGAGAUAUUUGUACUUUCUUUUAUUUUUCCAUUGAAGGCGUCCAAAUCUAGUGUGCGCAUCUCACUCCAGAGUAGCCUCAUUUCAGGGGCUCCGUGGCCACACACAGCUACUGGCUACUGCCUUGGACAGGGCAGCUCCAGUACCUUGAAGCCCAGGCCCCGUGCAACCAGGCUGUGGCUUCCCUGAGCCUGUGGCUCCCCUAAACUGAGGACAGAACUGCUUGGGGUCAGGAUUCGCUGGGGGUCUGUCUGCAGAAGUUGGUGAUGUUCCCACAGGGGACAGAUGCUCUCACAGGGGACAGUAGCCACUGAUGACCUCUGAGGCUCAUCUUACCCUGAGGUUGCAGGAACCCAGCAGGCCCAGGAAGGGGUGACUGGUGGGAAGAAACAGCUUCCCCUGACCACAUGAACUUGUCCCUGGGCCUUUGUGUGGCCAAAGGGAAACCCAGGUUUGUGGGUGGAAGGAAGAGAACCACGUUAGGGCUUGUGGACAGGGAAGGAUCCACAUCGACUUUUUAGCCCCUGUGCCCGGCCAAGCAUGAGCCCAGGUGCAUACAAGGGGAGCCCCUCCCAGGGGAGUCCCCCUGCCGAAGGAGCAAGCCUUGUCCUCAGCCUGCUGUGUCCCACAGGAGAGAUUUACCUUCCUUGGGGAACAAAGUCCUCCAUGAUGAUGCCACUUAGGAUAUUAAUGCCUGCGCUUCAAGGCCUAAGGGUUCCUCUUUCUUUGGCAGACUCCUCACGGCCAGGGCGGUGAACAGGUGCUGAUAGAGUGUUGUUUUCGGAGAUGUGCUCUGGACAGGUGGGACGUUACUUGAGUCUUGUGACAGUGGUCAAGUGCCAUUUCCACAUGCUAGAACCUUGAGCAGUUAAUCCCCUGGGUCUGUCCCUUAUAUGAGCCAGCCGAGGAGCCUUGAGAAGUCAGGGACAAAUAGAGAGACGGUGCAACAUCUUAACGCCCUUUCCUGUUCUUGCAGAAUGCUGUGAUUAUUAAUAUCUCUCUCUCAGAAAAGGGCUAUGUGUGCUGUUUUUUUAGGAGAACAGCAAUAAAAAAGGGAAAUUAAAUUAGCAACUCGGUGUGAACCUCUAAUCCAUUAAAGUGUCUUCAGCUCCAUAACCUGUUACCUUAAACUCUGGCUCCCUCCUUAAGUGGUUGCAGGGAAAUAGCAGUAUGCUGCCUGGCCCCAUUUUGUACCCGUUAUGAUAGAAGUGAUUGAAUGUCAGCAAAGCCUGGGCUUCUGUUCCUGGGAGAGAGGGCUCUGCACGGGGUUGGUAUGCUCAGACUGCACGUGACCAAGGAUGCAAAUGCUCCCUGUCGAGACACCCGUGCCCUCACCCCAGCAUGCACACGGAGCUCCGAGAAUUAACCAAACACACAUACCCCCUGUCUCCAAUCCGUACUAAAUAAUGUGAAGAUGAAACUGGCUUUGGAGGAAAACGUCACGAAGAAACUGAACACAGUAACAAGCUCAGGGCACCGAUAAUAGCAGCUAGCGGGUACUGAGUGCCAACAGUGUGCCUCGUUCUAUGCUGUGACGAGGUCCUGCUACAUCAUUUGGGGGCCCAGUGCGAAAUGAAGACGCAGCCCCUUGUUCACAAAAGCACUAAGGAUUCCAAGAUGGUGAUGGCAGGGCAUGAAACCAACGCAGCCCUACCGAGCAGAGAGGCCUGCCUAGGUCACCUGCCCCCGCGGCCGGCCCCGGGCCGUGUGCUGUCUGUAUACGAACUGGCAGUAACCUCUCAACAAACACUACUGCUCUCUCCAUGCUACAGAUGAGCAGACAGAGGCUCAAAGAGGUUCGGAGACUACCAGGACUGACACAGGUUUCAAGGCGGUCUGAAGGGAGGGCUCAGUCAUGACCCAGCACAUGGUGAAGCAGCAGAAACCAGAGAAGGGCAGCAGGCUACCCCAGAAUCAUGCUGUGAGCGCUGAUGUGGUUUCAGGAACACAAUGUCAUUUGUGCCAUUAAAUUAAUGUAGUUAAUUUGAAGUGUA
rnacentral:lncRNA from 1 species